CAUUGAACACUUCUCCUCCUCUAUCUUCUUCGCUGCCAUUCUCACUUUAUCUCUUGCUGCUUCCAUUUUUCUCAGCUUCACUUCUUCAUCCUCCUUUAGUGUAAUCGGGAAAUGAAAUUCCGGCAAGGAAUAAAACUCGAGUUUUGAGCUUUACAGUUUAAAUUCAAGAACUAAAACGGAUACAAGGAUCAAGAAAAGGUCAAGUACCUGCACCCGGAAUAUAUGAAUCCGUUAUCUUUUGCGAUAAAACCAUCUAAAGAGACUGCACCACCACCAUUGAUGUGUGGAAGAGCUGCUUUAACUUGCUUUUGGGUCUCUAUACCUGUAAAUUCCCAAAGAGAUUAUAGAACAAAGUCUCUCUAAGCCCGUAUCCUGAGUAAGUUUGAACAGUGAGCUCCUCUGGAGCCAAAUCAAUCAUGUUCACGGCAUAGCCCUUGAAACCCGGUAUGGGAUCUCCAUCGGGCAGCUUUGGGUCAUCC